UAUUUUUAAUAUUUUAAUUUUAUAUUUAAGUUAAAAAGCUUAAUUAUUAAUAUUAGACGAGAAGACCCUAUAGAAUUUUAUUAAUAAAAAUAUUUAAUAAAUAAAUAUUAAUAUAUUAAUUUAAUUGGGGAGAUUAAAAAAUUUAAUAAACUUUUUUUUAAAUUCAUAAAUUUUUGUUUAUUUGAUCUUAUUUUAUAGAUUAUAAAAUUAAAUUACCUUAGGGAUAACAGCAUAAUUUUAAAAAUAAGCUCUUAUUA
rnacentral:rRNA from 1 species